rfam:TPA: Bos taurus chromosome 3, whole genome shotgun sequence.
GCACUGGUGGUUUAAUGGUAGAAUUCUCACCUCCCAUGUGGGAGACCUGGGUUUGAUUCCUGGCCAGUGUA